rnacentral:rRNA from 1 species
GCUAUACUGCAAGUCGAGCGGACCGAAUGGGAGCUUGCUCUUGUUCGGUCAGCGGCGGACGGGUGAGUAACACGUGGGCAACCUGCCCGCAAGACCGGGAUAACUCCGGGAAACCGGAGCUAAUACCGGAUAACACCGAAGACCGCAUGGUCUUGGGUUGAAAGGCGGCGCAAGCUGCCACUUGCGGAUGGGCCCGCGGCGCAUUAGCUAGUUGGUGAGGUAACGGCUCACCAAGGCGACGAUGCGUAGCCGGCCUGAGAGGGUGACCGGCCACACUGGGACUGAGACACGGCCCAGACUCCUACGGGAGGCAGCAGUAGGGAAUCUUCCGCAAUGGGCGAAAGCCUGACGGAGCGACGCCGCGUGAGCGAAGAAGGCCUUCGGGUCGUAAAGCACUGUUGUGAGGGACGAAGGAGCGCCGUUUGAAGAAGGCGGCGCGGUGACGGUACCUCACGAGGAAGCCCCGGCUAACUACGUGCCAGCAGCCGCGGUAAUACGUAGGGGGCGAGCGUUGUCCGGAAUUAUUGGGCGUAAAGCGCGCGCAGGCGGUCCUUUAAGUCUGAUGUG